rnacentral:rRNA from 1 species
AGUGAACGCUGGCGGUAGGCCUAACACAUGCAAGUCGAACGGCAGCACAGUAAGAGCUUGCUCUUACGGGUGGCGAGUGGCGGACGGGUGAGGAAUACAUCGGAAUCUACUUUUUCGUGGGGGAUAACGUAGGGAAACUUACGCUAAUACCGCAUACGACCUACGGGUGAAAGCAGGGGAUCUUCGGACCUUGCGCGAUUGAAUGAGCCGAUGUCGGAUUAGCUAGUUGGCGGGGUAAAGGCCCACCAAGGCGACGAUCCGUAGCUGGUCUGAGAGGAUGAUCAGACACACUGGAACUGAGACACGGUCCAGACUCCUACGGGAGGCAGCAGUAGGGAAUCUUGGACAAUGGGCGAAAGCCUGAUCCAGCCAUGCCGCGUGAGUGAAGAAGGCCUUCGGAUUGUAAAGCUCUUUUGUUGGGAAAGAAAAAAAGCAGGUGAAUACACGGCUGUUCUGACGGUACCCAAUGAGUAAGCCCCGGCUAACUUCGUG